ACAUUCACGUAAACAAACUCUCGUUACCUUCUCUUGUAAUUUCCAGAUAAAACAAAAAUGUCUUGCUGCGGAGGGAACUGUGGGGGAUGUGGAUCUUGCUGCGGAGGGAACUGUGGAUCUUGCUGCGGAGGGAACUGCGGGGGGAAUUGUGGAUCUUGCUGCAAGUGCGGCCACGGAUGCGGAGGUUGCAAGACGUACUUCAAUAUGAGCUGUCCGGCGGCAACUGAGAAUUGUUGCAAGUGCGUUUAUAAUUGCACUUGUAAUCCUUCCACAUGAAGCGUUGGCGCAAAGUCAGGAUCUGAAGCAGAGAUGAAGAAGCUAAGUUAGUAUUAGUUUUGUGUGUUUAAAUAAAUCAUCAUCACUAGUAGGUGGUGAUUGUGUAAUAUUCGUAUAAAGUAAUUAAUAGUGUUUGUAAUCUCACCUCUGCUUAAUUAUAUUAAUGAAAAACUCCUUUCUUCUAA